rnacentral:rRNA from 1 species
GUAGGUGACAAGCGUUGUCCGGAUUUACUGGGCGUAAAGAGCGCGCAGGCGGUCGUUCAAGUCAAGUGUGAAAGCCCCCGGCUCAACUGGGGAGGGUCACUCGAUACUGAUCGACUCGAAGGCAGGAGAGGGAAGUGGAAUUCCCGGUGUAGUGGUGAAAUGCGUAGAUAUCGGGAGGAACACCAGUGGCGAAGGCGACUUCCUGGCCUGUUCUUGACGCUGAGGCGCGAAAGCUAGGGGAGCAAACGGGAUUAGAUACCCCGGUAGUCCUAGCCGUAAACGAUGGACACUAGGUGUUGGUGGUAUCAACCCCGCCAGUGCCGAAGCUAACGCAUUAAGUGUCCCGCCUGGGGAGUACGGCCGCAAGGCUA